rnacentral:rRNA from 1 species
AUACGGAGGCUGCAAGCGUUGUUCGGAAUUACUGGGCGUAAAGCGCGCGUAGGCGGUCUGUUAUGUCAGAUGUGGAAGUCCUCGGCUCAACCGGGGAGGUGCAUUUGAAACUGGCAGACUUGAGUACUGGAGGGGGUGGUGGAAUUCCCGGUGUAGAGGUGAAAUUCGUAGAUAUCGGGAGGAAUACCGGUGGCGAAGGCGACCACCUGGCCAGAUACUGACGCUGAGGUGCGAAAGCGUGGGGAGCAAACAGGAUUAGAAACCCUAGUAGUCC